AUGCCACAAUCUCAUACAAGAAUGAUGAUGGAUAUAAAGCUAAAUCCUAUACAGCAUUCUGUUGCAACUUUAGAGAAAUUGUGUAUGAGCUAUUACAUUUACAAGAACAAGAAUCCUCUUAUUGUUGGAAGAUGA